rnacentral:lncRNA from 1 species
AUGGAGGAGAAGCUGGGGGAGCUGCAGGGGGAGCAGCGGGGGAUGAAGGAGGAGCAGGGACGGAGCCGGGAGCUGCUGGAGACACUGCGCCUACAGAUGGAGGAGGGCAGCGCCAGGAUGGGCAACAUGGCGGCCAGGCUGACGGCAGCUGAAGGGACCCGCAAGAAGGACUUGGAAAGGCUGAAGGCCAGCGAGGAUUGGGGCAGAGCAAUGGAGAGCCGGCUGGUGGCGCUGGAGAAGGAGCACAGGGAGCUGCAGGACGCCAUUGCCCGACUAUUGGGUCGGCCCAGCAGGACGGGACGGGGGGCAGCGGCACCGAGAUGGGAUGAGGGUGGGGAUGAAGGACAGGCCACCAGCGUGUGACAUGGGGUGGCACCACAACAAGGCCGUGAACACGAGGGACUGAUCCUGAUCCUGAUGGGUUUGUGUCCCUUGGGAAUAAAGACUGUUGGUGUCGCUGGGACUCGGUGCUG